GGGGGUGUACCGGUUUCGACGGGGGUAGUGAAGCGUUGAUGGCGUGUCGCCCGACCAGGUAAGGGCGUCAAAAACAUCCUGGAAACUGUAAGUGCGAACGAUAGCACCUACGCUCUCGCGGCCUGAACAGCUGAUCUGAGAGCCGUCGAAGCGAAGAGCCUGUCAGAGCUCUCGUGGAGGCGUCAUCGAUCUGACUAGCUCCCACCACCACUGCCCGGGUGAGGGGCGAAAAUAAAGGGUGGAUAGCGGCACGGAGAGCCAGCCCGACGGGCGAUCCGGGUCGCGAUACAAAACACGGGCUACACACGUAGAAGUCACCGCAGAUCGCUCUCGGACCCGGGUUCGACUCCCGGCGCCUCCAGAC
rnacentral:tmRNA from 1 species